AUUUCUCUAAAUUUGAUGUGUGCAGGUCUGGGAAAGAAAAUAUGGAGGAAUAAGCUACGAUAAUUUUGGUGAAGAACUUUCUUUCCCUAUGUUGUGAAGAGUUUGGUCCUCUGAUAGAUUUGUGUUCUUAGAAAAUGCGAGGAUGAUGAUAAUUAUUGUGCUACUGCUAUCUUCUUCAGCUCCUCGUGCUUCCCAAGGUCGCAGGUGUUAGUGGAGAUCGAAGUUCGAAGGAGGCUGCUCGCGAGACGGCUGGGCUUCCUUCAAUAGUGGUGCUAACAUUUUGAAUAAUAAACUGGGAGCUGACAAGCGGUCUGAAUUUCUGCUAGGAUUUUUUUACCUUACCGCUUUGUAGCCCCUGUCGAGGAAUGUAUGUAGUGGAUCAUGCACUACUGGAAGUUGAUCGUUGGGUGAAGGAAGAUGGAUGGUCUUACCGCUCUGUUCUUCUUGCUAAGUGGAUUACGACUUCCUUGCUCCCCUUUAUGGACAAGCAUUCUCAUCUGCUGGUCACUUGCCUAAGAUACAAUAUGCUAAUGCUAUCUUGGUUCUGUUUCGUUUGCUCUUGCAGAAAAUAAGUGAAAUGUGCAGACCGACCACAUGGGCGGCCGGUCUUGCAACUCCCAAUGCUCUCAACCCCCCACUAAACCUCUCUCAUUUUGAUCUAGCCGACUAAGAUUUAUUAAGUACUGCAACCAAACCAUAAUUUGGACACCAAAACCUGAAUGAUAAGUAACAUGUAGAUAUACCAUGUGCUGCAGAUGUCAAUCGUGGAUGCGGAAAAUACCUCGGGAGUAGAGUCAAUUAGAACUGUGGAUUGAUGUAUUUAUUCCUUUGUAUUAUUAAAAACAACCUUUAUAUAUAAGCACAAUGACUUCCACCAUGGCUUUGACAGGGACAGUCAAGUGUUUUGAUUUAUUGCUGCUAUAUUCAAAUUUAUCAGAUGCCCAGUAAAGCGUUGCAUGUGCAAGCAAUUCUUGCUGUUCCAUGCAGAAUAGCUUGGUUCGUAAAUGCAAACUGAUUAACCAUAUGAUUGCAUUGGCUGUGUAUUAGGAUUCGUUCUGCCUUCUUCUUUUUUAUAUUGUCCUCUAUUUGUUGUGCCUAAUCUUUAUGUCCUCAUUGUUUUUGUUACAUUUUAUAACUCUAGGAUCUACUCGGCACGAACGAAAUUACUAACAUGCCUCUUCUUUUUACUAAUGAUUGAAACUCAGGACAAACGCUACUGGCAAGGGGGCUUGCUGAUGUAAACACCCUUCUCCUUUACUGGUUUAUCUUAGAAG